rnacentral:misc_RNA from 1 species
UAUCUCUCAACCCUCGGGUUGGACUAUGGGCGUCUGCGGGAGGCCAUCCUUCCGCUCGUCUCAAAUGCAUUAGCAGGUGCCCCGCUCCUUGCUGGCGUUUAGUAAUGCUUGCGCCGCGCGAGGCCGCGAACAGUGCCCUUUCUGCUUACCAGCCGGCGCCCCCGCGUGCCAACGUUUUUGACC